CCUACGGGGGGCAGCAGUGAGGAAUAUUGGUCAAUGGCCGGAAGGCUGAACCAGCCAAGCCGCGUGAAGGACGAAGGUGCCAAGCAUUGUAAACUUCUUUUGUCAAGGGACAAAAUCAGGCUCGAGAGCCUGACCGAGGGUACUUGAAGAAAAAGCAUCGGCUAACUCCGUGCCAGCAGCCGCGGUAAUACGGAGGAUGCGAGCGUUAUCCGGAUUUAUUGGGUUUAAAGGGUGCGUAGGCGGACUGUUAAGUCAGCGGUAAAAGCCCGGGGCUCAACCCCGGCGAGCCGUUGAAACUGGCUGUCUUGAGAUGUCGAGAGGUAUGCGGAAUGCGCAGUGUAGCGGUGAAAUGCGUAGAUAUUAGGAAGAACACCAGUGGCGAAGGCGGCUUUCUGGACUGAAACUGACGCUGAGGCACGAAAGCGUGGGGAGCGAACAGGAUUAGAUACCCCUGUAGUC
rnacentral:rRNA from 1 species